rnacentral:rRNA from 1 species
UACGGAGGGUGCAAGCGUUGUCCGGAUUUAUUGGGUUUAAAGGGUGCGUAGGCGGCCUUAUAAGUCAGUGGUGAAAUACGACAGCUUAACUGUCGAACUGCCAUUGAUACUGUAGGGCUUGAGUACAGACGAGGUAGGCGGAAUUGAUAGUGUAGCGGUGAAAUGCAUAGAUACUAUCAAGAACACCGAUUGCGAAGGCAGCUUACUAGGCUGUAACUGACGCUGAGGCACGAAAGCGUGGGGAUCAAACAGG